rnacentral:ncRNA from 2 species
CACAGUUUAACUUUGUCGGGUGCGGGAAAAGAAGCUUAUGAUAACUUCUUUUUCUGAGAAUAGGGAAGUCGGGAGAUGCCCGCGCAGUCACCACUGCUGUACCGGAACAGAACAGGAAAUUUUUCCACUGCCUCCCCAAGGGCGGGAAGGAAUCCUGUUUGCUUAAAGCCGAAGCCAGAAGACCUGCCCCGCAAAGUAGUUGCUC